GAUGAACGCUGGCGGCGUGCCUAACACAUGCAAGUCGAACGGACUUACAUUGAAGCCUAGCGAUAUGUAAGUUAGUGGCGGACGGGUGAGUAACGCGUGGGUAACCUGCCUUGUACUGGGGGACAACAGUUGGAAACGACUGCUAAUACCGCAUAAGCGCACAGCUUCGCAUGAAGCAGUGCGAAAAACUCCGGUGGUACAAGAUGGACCCGCGUCUGAUUAGCUGGUUGGUGAGGUAACGGCCCACCAAGGCGACGAUCAGUAGCCGGCCUGAGAGGGUGAACGGCCACAUUGGGACUGAGACACGGCCCAAACUCCUACGGGAGGCAGCAGUGGGGAAUAUUGCACAAUGGGGGAAACCCUGAUGCAGCAACGCCGCGUGAGUGAAGAAGUAUUUCGGUAUGUAAAGCUCUAUCAGCAGGAAAGAAAAUGACGGUACCUGACUAAGAAGCCCCGGCUAACUACGUGCCAGCAGCCGCGGUAAUACGUAGGGGGCAAGCGUUAUCCGGAUUUACUGGGUGUAAAGGGAGCGUAGACGGUUUUGCAAGUCUGAAGUGAAAGCCCGGGGCUUAACCCCGGGACUGCUUUGGAAACUGUAGAACUAGAGUGCAGGAGAGGUAAGUGGAAUUCCUAGUGUAGCGGUGAAAUGCGUAGAUAUUAGGAGGAACACCAGUGGCGAAGGCGGCUUACUGGACUGUAACUGACGUUGAGGCUCGAAAGCGUGGGGAGCAAACAGGAUUAGAUACCCUGGUAGUCCACGCCGUAAACG
rnacentral:rRNA from 1 species